GGCAGGGCGCGAGCAUGGCGCGCGAGAAGCAGGAGGAGCCGGCGGCGGAGGCCGCUCCCGAGCUCUCGUACCGGGAGCAGCUCGAGCACCUGAACCCCAUCGCGCAGCCGCUCGCCUCUCGCAAGCUGACGCGCAAGCUCUACAAGUGUAUCAGGAAAGCGGCCAAGCACAAGCAGAUCCGCCGGGGCGUGAAGGAGGUGCAGAAGUUUAUCAACAAAGGCGAGAAGGGGAUCACGGUGCUGGCCGGCGACACGCUGCCCAUCGACGUCUACUGCCAUAUCCCCAUCAUGUGCGAAGACAGGAAUCUGCCCUACGCUUACGUCCCCUCCAAGUCGUUCUGAACUGGGACCUGGAUGCAUACAGAAAGGAAGCACUGACCAAGGAGUGGUUUUGGGAGAUGUUCCUCCCUGCUCAGAUCAAGGGUUAGAGAUGGUCACUGCCUUCUCUGUUCCGGGACCUCGGGGCCGCAGCCGGCUCAAAGCGCCCCACCUGCGUCAUCCUGCUAAAGCCUCACGAGGAGUACCAGGAGGCCUACGAUGAGUGCCUGGGUGAGGUGGAGGCCCUGCCGCUGCCCUUGUGACCUCCGGGGGCACCAUCUCUAUGGUUGGGGGGGCAUCGUUGGGGUGGGGGGCGCUGGUUGAGGGUGAAUAAAGAUGUUCGGAUGUUUGUAGGA